UCCGCUAACGAACCGAUCAAAAGCGUUCAAAAAUCCCGAUUUCGGUUUCGGUUUCCUGUGCGUAGCGCCACCUGCUUCCUGCGGCAAGUGCAUGGCGGCUUCCUGUUUACAUUUUUGAACUCCGCAUGCUUUCAACUUCCAAGCUUGACGCUGUUGUUCAUGACAUUGUGAAAAAUAUAUGGAUAUAUAUGGGUGGUGAUGAUAUUUAGCAUCAUCCGGAAAGUCAAGCAUCGAUAUUUGGUCUACGACAAUUUGCCUACUGGUCAUCAAAGAUGCUGGAAUUUUUUCAAAACGCCAACUACACGUGCAAGCUUACUUUGAAGAUGUUCUGUGUGACUAUCCCAUAGCAUGAAUUCAUUAAAGUAGACUCCAAGCAUUCUGUGUUAGUAAUUUCUAUGGCAUUCCCUCCUAAGCUUGCAGAUAUUGAACAGCUGAUGGUGCGACAAGAAUCCCAGUAUCUUCCUUGCUGUACAUUUUGAAACAAUUCUUGAACAUACAAUUUCCGUCGUGAAGUGGUACAUCC
rnacentral:lncRNA from 1 species